GGAGAGGCAGCAUGUGUCUGCAGUAUCUUAUGUCUAUGGCAUUUUGUGCCCUCCUCGAUGGUCUUCUGAGGGUCUGGUUAGUUAGCUCUCACGAGAGGCAUCGUGUGCUUNNNNNNNNNNNNNNNNNNNNGGCGUCUUGUGUCUACAGCAUCUGGUGCUCUUCUUGUCUUCGCACGAGAGGCAGCAUGUGCGUGCGGCAUCUUGUACCUAUGGUAUCUUGUACCCUCCUCGAUGGCCUUUUGAGGAUCUGGUUAGUUAGCUCUCAUGAGAGGCAUUAUAUGCCUGCAGCAUCUUGUGUCUACAGCAUCUUGUGCUCUUUUCGUCUUCACCCGAGAGGCAAUGUAUGCCUGUGGCAUCUUAUGCCUAUGACAUCUUAUGGCCUCCUCGACGGCCUUCUGAGGGUCUGGUUAGUUGGCCUUCACGAGAGGCAUCGUAUGCCUGUGGCAUCUUGUGCUCUUUUCAUCUUUGUGCGAGAGGAAGCGUGUACCUGCAGUAUCUUGU
rnacentral:lncRNA from 1 species